CGUUUCCUUCGGGGCAGGGUGGAAGUCCCUACCGGCGGUGAUCGCGGUUCCAUGUGCGGCGGAAUGCCGCGGAACCGGCGUCAGCCCGUGACCCGGGCCGAAAACGGAUGGCACAUUGGCCGGACGGCGGCACGGUGGAUCCGGUGCAAUUCCGGAGCCGACAGUAACAGUCUGGAUGGGAGAAGGAAGCG
rnacentral:ncRNA from 2 species